CCACAAGAGAAUGUCUUGGCACAAUCUGUCAUUUUCUUUCUCCUGGCUUCUGCGAUGAGAAAGAAGAGGAAGAAGAAGACCAACACAGAGAUAGUCUUCAUUGGUGAUGUGAUUACAGACUUGUGAUUCUUGAUAUCUAGAUCUACAAAAUAUCAAGACUUAUAUUCCAUUUUCUGAAGAAACUAGAUUAUAUAUUUCUCCUCCUACCCGUUUGUUAUAUGGUCCUUCUUUGAAUGGUAUUACGACAGGAGAGUUGACUUGUGCGGAAAUUCAGACAGAACUGUAGAGGAAGAAGAGCAUGGUUUAUGAGGUUGCAAGAGAAGAAGAUGAAGAUAUGUGGGGCAGCUUUGAAAAAAACUGUGCAAUAGUCUUUGAAGCUUGCUGCUAUAUUGGAAAAAAAGAACGUAUGAGAUUGGUUUUGACCGGAGACUCUGGCGGAAUGGGAAACUUUCAAUUCAAUAGAAAUUUGGGUUUACCUUUUGGUCGAAAUUGCAUGUAUCAGAUUUGACCACACACCACUUAUCUUAAUAUCUUCAUGUCUUGUCAACCUCCUAUCGAGUCUUCCAUUAUUAAAGCGUUAGAAGCACUGAAAGUGAGACUCUAUGGUUUUGUUUGCUCUUUAGAGAUCUUCUGAGUAUGCUUUGCUUUAAUAUUUAUAACCGGUUUAGGAUAUUACAUAAUGCAUUGAAAAAUCAUGGAAAGUGAUAAGAUUAAUUAUAUUUUAAAAAUUGAUAAUGAUGUCUUG
rnacentral:lncRNA from 1 species